CAAAGUAUAGCUUAAUCAAAAGCAUCCAGCUUACACCUGGAAGAUUUCAAACUCACUGACUGCUUUGA
rnacentral:tRNA from 1 species